CCCAAUCUACGCGCAUCUAAAUUUAUAAAACUUAAUGGCUUAAUCGUUAAUGACUAACUAUAGUGCAUAUGUCAUAUCAUUUUAAAAAUGUUCAGACAGGAUUAAAGAUGUGACGUGUCAUAUCUUGCAUGGUGAUUCCGUUUGGAUACUUGUGCUAAAUAUGGGAACAGAGAGAGAAAGACAAUCAGCAAAAUAUGUCUUCGAAAAACUGGCAGACAAAACUACUGGUCUGUUACCCAACACACGAGAAAUCUGGACCAGUGUGGCAAGGUUGCUGGGUAUUGAAUCUACCGAAGCGAAGAUUUCGUAUUGUAUAUCUCAAGCCGGUGCAGGUGACGGAAUCACGAUGAGGGAUUUUGUUGACAUUUUGCCAUGCUUGGAAUCGAAACAGACGGAUUUGCAUACGGAGUUGCCAGUGAAAAGAAUGCUUUAUACCGACUAUUUGUGUUCAAAUUGAAAACCCGAUGUGCUUGAUUUUGUCGUCGCUUGCUUAUAUCUCACAUGCCAUAAAUUCUACAUUUCUAUUUUAGAGCAAACGGAGGACCAAAUCGUUUAGAAGAGUUAAUUCUGAUGGCCAGAAUCGCUCUUUGGAGGUCAGGUGGGAAGAAGAUAGAAAGAAAAUUAAGGUGAGUAUAUAUUCCAAUCUACUCCUGAAACAUAAUAUUGGUUCAUUUUACAAUACAUGUAUAUUAUUUCUUUCUUAUUCCGUUCGUUUUUACUUGUCGCUCUUUUAAGCAGCUGUUUUAAACAAAAAUGUAUCACUACAAGUUUUUUUCUGUCUCAUCUGCCUUGACCACCGCAUCGGUAGCGUCCGCUUCGAGUGCGGGAGGUCGUGGGUUCGAUCCCCGGCCGCGUCAUACCAAAGACGUAAAAAAUGGUACUAAGUAGCUUAUCGCUUGGCGCUCAGCAUUGAGAGGAUAGUGAGAACUGGUUAGCCGGGUGUCGGUAUAAUGUGACUGGGUGGGGUAUCAUGCCACGAGUCUGCGGCGUGAUAUUCCAGUGAGAUAUCACUAUAAAGUUGGGCAUUGUGCUCACUGCUAGAAGAAGACACCGACGUUUAUAUGACUGAAAAAAUGUUGAAAAAGACGUUAAACCCGAACACACACGCUCGCACGCACGCAAACACCUCUGCCUUGACUAUGAUAAACAGUAUGACUCUCUGGUAUGUUGGUAUUUCCACAAUCAUACCUAGGCUGUUUUGGGUUAUAUUGACUUGACAGAAAUCAAAAACAGACUGUAUGCUAACCUUUGAUUACAUAAAAAUUAUGAAUUUGAUGUGACGUUACUUGGUUUGGACUCAGUGCUAUUAUUAUGUUUGGUCACUUGGAUCAUACAGUCAAUUCAAUAUAACUACAUUGUCAUGAUAAAAUUUCAUUUCAGCCGGUGUUAGGGGCCGUUAGAGGUGUAACUUUGCUUCCAAAAGAUCACGUUAUAAAUGUUUUAAACAUUAUCUCGAAUUAGUGCGUUCUUAGAGCUAUUCUAACAUAACAUGACCUUGAUAUUUCUUUUAACUUUUAAUACGUUCUAAUUUGUCUUGAAUGCACACGGUUUCAGACCGCGUACUUUCGAAUUUCAUUCAAACAUUAUAGUUAACAAAUCUAGUAAUGAACUAAAUGUCAUUUUGAUAACAAAAUGGUGGAAUGCCAUCCAUGAUUAAUUUACUUUUACUAUUUUAUGCAGCACUGUAAGUAAAUUUAUUGUCCCGGAAUGUUAAACGUGGAAUUCUAAUAUAUUCAGAAGCUUUUAGAAUUUAACACAUCGAUUAAAAAUUAAGGGGUAACCGUAUUAUUUACUUCAGUAUGACCAUAAUUCGCUGUGUUCUUUAUUUUCCAGAAUAAAAGGAAGGUUUGUAUAAAUAAAACAUUUAAAUUUUUUAUUUUAUUUAGUUAAAAGGAACUACACUGCCGAGAUAUGAAAACGCAACAAAUAUAUGC